CAAAUGAUUUUUUAUCAAUCAUUAAAAUGUUCGAACCGUAUGUCAUAAUCAUUGCGAAUUCUAAAGCCGUAACAGUCCAACGAAACGUAUUUCUAUCGGUAGGAGAACAAUCCUCAUAGAUGAAUCCAACCCAACUGAUCGCCAGCUGUAUCAUUUUGCGACGAAUCAGCCCAAUGCUAGAUGCGUCUAGGAUCGAAAGCCUCAUUAAUCGUUGUGCAAAUUCAAUGGCGUAAGAAAAAGAAUAAUGAAUUAGAUUUUGGCAAUUCAUGCCAUGGUACCUUGUACGAAUUGUUUGUAUCACAUCAAGCAAUGACAAAGCCAACUUCAAAGAAUUUCGUUUAAUUUUGGUCAUUUGUUUGUUGAUUUUGGAUGAAUUUGCUUUCGCAGAAUCAACAAGUGAGACUGUGUCACCAACUAUACUAAUAAAAUAAUCUUCGAUAACAGAGAGUUGAUUAGCUGUCGCUAACGUUACUAAACGGACACAGUUAGGAGCAAUGGAAAUUGACACUUCCGGAAUAUCAAGAUCUGUAACAUGGCCGUUCCAACAUAUUGAGCUGUCUGGAGCCAAUACAACCGCAUAUGGAGGUACACUUUCAAAAUUAUUAUCUCCUUUAUUAAAAGUCAUUGAAAGUACCUCACGAAGUAUAUUAGGGGAAUCAACUAGGUGUCCUGGAACAAUUACGUAUGCUCCUUCAUGUUCGAUACUCGCCGUAUAUGUCAAAACGUGAUUUGAUUCUUCAAGGCGUUGUAUUAAAAGGGAUAAUGAAUUCUCUUUAAUAACGUACUCGCAAGAAUUUUCCAAAUGCGCUUUUAGUAUACGAGUAAAACUCAUCAAUUUUCGGAAGCGAAUUCUAACACAGUCAAGCACCUUGAUAUAAAAUGAGGUGAUCAAUGCAGAGUCAUCGGUAUCGGGCCCCUGCAGCUGAUCUUUUAGAUACCUAUUGAUAUUGGUCAAUAUUUCACCAACCAGCGAAGAAAGACUUUUAGACAUAAUUUGGAAUCCGUGUUCGAUGUGGGGACAAACAGCGAGCAGAAAAUCCCAUUCUCCUUCUAAAAUUUCGGUUUCUUUGAAAUGCAGCAAGGCACAGCCAUUGCGAACCUUACGAUGUAAUAAAUUGAAGUAAAAUUUCAAUGAGGCAACUAAAAUAUUGUUUAAGGACUGGUUUUCAUCAACAAAUUUGCUAUCAUCACGAAAAGGUUUGAUUAGAACAGUGUGUUGUUGAAUGAUAUGGACGGCAACUUUCAUAGUGUUCCGAAG